GGACUACCCGGGUAUCUAAUCCCGUUCGAUUCCCACGCUUUCGUGUUUCAGCGUCAGGAGUGCGCCAGUAUAUUGCCUUCGCAUUUGGUGUUCCCCAUGAUAUCAACGGAUUUCACCCCUACACCAUGAGUUCCAUAUACCUCUCGCAUCCUCUUAGUCGUACCGUUUCCUCCGCGUUUUCCGGGUUAGGCCCGAAAGCUUUCACGAAGGACUAAUACGACCGCCUACACACCCUUUACGCCCAGUGAUUCCGGAUAAUGCUUGGGGCCUCUGUAUUACCGCGGCUGCUGGCAC
rnacentral:rRNA from 1 species